ACUCUGGAGAAGCCCGUAUUUCCCCUCUGCAUGGCAGAUGGAUAACGGGUGCCGAAGGUGCAAGAUAUCUCAUGGCGUAAUCCCAUGACAUAUUCAAUCUCUCAGGCAAAAGGACGGAGAUU
rnacentral:ncRNA from 1 species